rnacentral:rRNA from 1 species
UACGUAGGGUGCAAGCGUUAAUCGGAAUUACUGGGCGUAAAGCGUGCGCAGGCGGUUUUGUAAGUCUGACGUGAAAUCCCCGGGCUUAACCUGGGAAUGGCGUUGGAGACUGCAAGGCUGGAAUCUGGCAGAGGGGGGUAGAAUUCCACGUGUAGCAGUGAAAUGCGUAGAGAUGUGGAGGAACACCGAUGGCGAAGGCAGCCCCCUGGGCUAAGAUUGACGCUCAUGCACGAAAGCGUGGGGAGCAAACAGG